rnacentral:sRNA from 1 species
UUCCUGAGUUUUGCGAAUAUAAAAUACUCCCUCCGUCCCACUAAGAUGAAUUUUUUAGAAAUUGCACAUUUUUUAAGAAAUAUUGUAUAAACA